CUGUGCCUGACCUCAUCAGCUGCAGCCUGUCUGCGUCUUUCUCCAGGGCGUCAACCAAGAGGAAAGAGUCCUCCGCCGGCUCGUAGACAUCUCGGAAGUCUCCUCUUCCUGCGUGGGAGUAAACUGGCAAGCACACAGUUUCCGGACCACAGCUGCGGAGUUUCUUCACUUCAUCUACGUCUUCGUCAAUAAAAAAAAAAGGGGGGCUGGGUGAGUCUUGGUUAGGAUGCUUGUGGGAGUCCAGGCCAGGCCUCCCCUUUACAUGGCUCCAUCCUCCCCCUCCCCCUCCUCCUCCUCCUCCUCCUCCUCCUCAAUGGAUGCCAUCUGGGAAGAAGAAGAGGAUCCUUGUAGAGACCAGCUGAAGGAACAUCUUCUCUGAGCUGAAGCUCUGAGAUGAGUGCAGAGUUUCCGGACCACAACGGAGAAGUUCCUUCACUCCAUUCAUGCCUUCUUCCGUACUC